ACGAACGCUGGCGGCGUGCUUAACCCAUGCAAGUCGAACGGAAAGGCCCUGCUUUUGUGGGGUGCUCGAGUGGCGAACGGGUGAGUAACACGUGAGUAACCUGCCCUUGACUUUGGGAUAACUUCAGGAAACUGGGGCUAAUACCGGAUAGGAGCUCCUGCUGCUUGGUGGGGGUUGGAAAGUUUCGGCGGUUGGGGAUGGACUCGCGGCUUAUCAGCUUGUUGGUGGGGUAGUGGCUUACCAAGGCUUUGACGGGUAGCCGGCCUGAGAGGGUGACCGGCCACAUUGGGACUGAGAUACGGCCCAGACUCCUACGGGAGGCAGCAGUGGGGAAUAUUGCACAAUGGGCGGAAGCCUGAUGCAGCAACGCCGCGUGCGGGAUGACGGCCUUCGGGUUGUAAACCGCUUUCGCCUGUGACGAAGCGUGAGUGACGGUAAUGGGUAAAGAAGCACCGGCUAACUACGUG
rnacentral:rRNA from 1 species